rnacentral:rRNA from 1 species
GACAGAGGGUGCGAACGUUGUUCGGAAUUACUGGGCGUAAAGCGCGUGUAGGCGGCAGCGUGUGUCGGGCGUGAAAUCCCACGGCUCAACCGUGGAAGUGCACUCGAAACUGCGCAGCUAGAGUCCUGGAGAGGAAGGUGGAAUGCUUGGUGUAGAGGUGAAAUUCGUAGAUAUCAAGCGGAACACCGGUGGCGAAGGCGGCCUUCUGGACAGUGACUGACGCUGAGACGCGAAAGCGUGGGGAG